rnacentral:rRNA from 1 species
AUUGAACGCUGGCGGCAGGCCUAACACAUGCAAGUCGAGCGGAUGAAGGGAGCUUGCUCCUGGAUUCAGCGGCGGACGGGUGAGUAAUGCCUAGGAAUCUGCCUGGUAGUGGGGGAUAACGUCCGGAAACGGGCGCUAAUACCGCAUACGUCCUGAGGGAGAAAGUGGGGGAUCUUCGGACCUCACGCUAUCAGAUGAGCCUAGGUCGGAUUAGCUAGUUGGUGGGGUAAAGGCCUACCAAGGCGACGAUCCGUAACUGGUCUGAGAGGAGGAUCAGUCACACUGGAACUGAGACACGGUCCAGACUCCUACGGGAGGCAGCAGUGGGGAAUAUGGGACAAUGGGCGAAAGCCUGAUCCAGCCAGGCCGCGUGUGUGAAGAAGGUCUUCGGAUUGUAAAGCACUUUAAGUUGGGAGGAAGGGCAGUAAGUUAAUACCUUGCUGUUUUGACGUUACCAACAGAAUAAGCACCGGCUAACUUCGUG